CCAGGGGGUAGCGACUGUUUACCAAAAACACAGGUGCAUGCCAAGACGCAAGUCGCCGUAUAUGCACUGACGCCUGCCCGGUGCCGGAAGGUUAAGAGGAUCCAUCAGCGUCCCCUCGCGGGAUGCGAAGUGGUGAAUUCAAGCCCCGGUAAACGGCGGUGGUAACUAUAACCAUCCUAAGGUAGCGAAAUUCCUUGUCGGGUAAGUUCCGACCUGCACGAAUGGCGUAACGACUUCCCCGCUGUCUCGACCAGGAGCUCGGCGAAAUUGCAGUACGAGUAAAGAUGCUCGUUAAGCGCAGAAGGACGAAAAGACCCCGGGACCUUUACUAUACCUUGGUAUUGGCAUCAGGUGCGGAUUGUGUAGCAUAGGCGGGAGGCUUCGAAGCCGCGGCGCCAGCCGUGGUGGAGCCGGCCAGUGAAAUACCGCUCUGUCCCCAUCUGAUGCCUAACCCGGACAAGUCAGCCUUGUCGGGGAGAGUGCCUGGCGGGUAGUUUAACUGGGGCGGUUGCCUCCCAAAGAGUAACGGAGGCGCUCAAAGGUCCGCUCGGCCCGGUUGGCAAUCGGGUGUCGAGUGUAAUCGCACAAGCGGGCUUGACUGCGAGAUCGACGGAUCGAGCAGGGACGAAAGUCGGAGAUAGUGAUCCGGUGCCGGCGUACGGACGCGGCAUCGCUCAACGGAUAAAAGGUACCCCGGGGAUAACAGGCUGAUCAUUCCCAAGAGUCCAUAUCGACGGGAUGGUUUGGCACCUCGAUGUCGGCUCGUCGCAUCCUGGGGCUGGAGCAGGUCCCAAGGGUUCGGCUGUUCGCCGAUUAAAGCGGCACGCGAGCUGGGUUCAGAACGUCGUGAGACAGUUUGGUCUCUAUCCUCUGCGCUCGUUGGAAUCCUGAGGAGGCCUGCCCAUAGUACGAGAGGACCUGGGUGGACGAACCUCUGGUAUGCCAGUUGUCGCGCCAGCGGCACGGCUGGUUGGCCACGUUCGGGAGGGAUAACCGCUGAAAGCAUCUAAGCGGGAAGCCCGCUCCAAGAUAAGGAUUCCUGACACCCCCCCCGGGGGUGUGUGAGACCCCAUAGAGAACAUGUGGUUGAUAGACCGGACGUGGAAGCCCCGCGAGGGGUGGAGCCGACCGGCACUAACGGUCGAAGACAACCAACA
rnacentral:rRNA from 1 species